rnacentral:rRNA from 1 species
CAGUAGCCGCGGUAAUACGUAGGGUGCGAGCGUUAAUUGGAAUUACUGGGCGUAAAGCGUGCGCAGGCGGUGCUGCAAGACCGAUGUGAAAGCCCCGGGCUUAACCUGGGAACUGCAUUGGUGACUGCAGCGCUGGAGUAUGGCAGAGGGGGGUGGAAUUCCACGUGUAGCAGUGAAAUGCGUAGAGAUGUGGAGGAACACCGAUGGCGAAGGCAGCCCCCUGGGCCAAUACUGACGCUCAUGCACGAAAGCGUGGGGAGCAAACAGGAUUAGAUACCCCCGUAGUCCCUGUCUCUUAUAA